AAACAUGUCUUAUUGAAAAUAAUUUUAAGUCAAUCUGCCCAAUGAGUAAUUAAAUGGCUGCAGUAUAUCUGACUGUACAAAGGUAGCAUAAUCAAUUGAUUUUUAAAUGAAAUCUGGAAUGAAAGGAUUAAUGAAAUAUAUACUGUCUCAUGUUUAUUAUAUGAAUUUAAAAUUUUAAUAAAAAUGUUAAAAUUUAUUUAUGGGACGAUAAGACCCUAUAGAAUUUUAUAUUAAUUUAUUUUUAUAUAAAAUAUAAAAUUUAAAUUAAUAUUUAAUUGGGAGAAUUAUUAAAUUUAAUAAAUUUUAAUUUUUUAAAAACUUAAAUUUAAGAAAAAAUUAUGAUUUAUAUUUUAUAAUUAUUAGAUUAAAUUACCUUAGGGAUAACAGCGUUAUAUUUUUUUAUAGAUCGUAUAGAAAAAAAUGAUUGCGACCUCGAUGUUGAAUUAAGAUAAAUUUUAAAUGCAGAAGUUUAAUAAUUAAGUCUGUUCGACUUUUAAAAUCUUACAUGAUUUGAGUUCAAAUCGACGUAAGU
rnacentral:rRNA from 1 species